rnacentral:rRNA from 1 species
CAGCAGCCACGGUAAUACGUAGGGUGCGAGCGUUAAUCGGAAUUACUGGGCGUAAAGCGUGCGCAGGCGGUCGGGUGAGUCGGAUGUGAAAUCCUGGGGCUCAACCUCAGAACUGCAUUCGAUACUGCUUGGCUAGAGGACUGGAGAGGAGAUCGGAAUUCACGGUGUAGCAGUGAAAUGCGUAGAUAUCGUGAGGAAGACCAGUGGCGAAGGCGGAUCUCUGGACAGUUCCUGACGCUGAUGCACGAAGGCUAGGGGAGCAAACGGGAUUAGAUACCCGGGUAGUCCCUGUCUCUUAUAC